AUUGAACGCUGGCGGCAUGCCUUACACAUGCAAGUCGAACGGCAGCACGGGAGCAAUCCUGGUGGCGAGUGGCGAACGGGUGAGUAAUAUAUCGGAACGUGCCCGGUCGUGGGGGAUAACGUAGCGAAAGCUACGCUAAUACCGCAUACGAUCUACGGAUGAAAGCGGGGGGAUCGCAAGACCUCGCGCGAUUGGAGCGGCCGAUAUCAGAUUAGGUAGUUGGUGAGGUAAAGGCUCACCAAGCCGACGAUCUGUAGCUGGUCUGAGAGGACGACCAGCCACACUGGGACUGAGACACGGCCCAGACUCCUACGGGAGGCAGCAGUGGGGAAUAUUGGA
rnacentral:rRNA from 1 species